rnacentral:misc_RNA from 1 species
AACGCACCUUGCGCUCCUUGGUAUUCCGAGGAGCAUGCCUGUUUGAGUGUCAUUAAAUUCUCAACCUCACCGGUUUUCUGAACCGUUCUCCGAGGCUUGGAUGUGGGGGUUUGUGCAGGUCGCCUCAGCGCGGUCUGCUCCCCUGAAAUGCAUUAGCGAGAUUCAUUCUGGACCUCCGUCUAUCGGUGUGAUAAUUAUCUACGUCGUUGACUUGGUUCGGACUCGCUUCUAACCGUCCGCGAGGACAACAUUACUUGACAAUUUGACCUCAAAUCAGGUAGGACUACCCGCUGAACUUAA